rnacentral:rRNA from 1 species
GACGAACGCUGGCGGCGUGCUUAACACAUGCAAGUCGUACGGUAAGGCCCUUUCGGGGGUACACGAGUGGCGAACGGGUGAGUAACACGUGAGUAACCUGCCCACAACUUUGGGAUAACGCUAGGAAACUGGUGCUAAUACUGGAUAUGUGCUCCUGCUGCAUGGUGGGGGUUGGAAAGCUCCGGCGGUUGUGGAUGGACUCGCGGCCUAUCAGCUUGUUGGUGGGGUAGUGGCCUACCGAGGCGGCGACGGGUAGCCGGCCUGAGAGGGUGACCGGCCACAUUGGGACUGAGAUACGGCCCAGACUCCUACGGGAGGCAGCAGUGGGGAAUAUUGCACAAUGGGCGCAAGCCUGAUGCAGCAACGCCGCGUGCGGGAUGACGGCCUUCGGGUUGUAAACCGCUUUCAGCAGGGACGAAGCUUUUUGUGACGGUACCUGCAGAAGAAGCACCGGCUAACUACGUG